UCUUCUUGUGGUGACCCCACCCGCCUUGCGAUCAUUUAGAAGAAGCCCCCCUUUGGCUUUUUGAAAAAAUUUUUCCUUCUUGUAAGAAUAUUCUGGGGGAGGUGGUCCGGCUGAUUUUGGAGGGGGGGUAGUUCAUCAGGUGGGAGCGCGCGCCUCAUAAGCAGGAGGUGGGAGGUUCAACUCCUCCCCCCCCCCCCACCAAUAAUAAGUGGUAGGGGGCUUGUUGUGGGGAACAAUGAGAAGGUGACGAUGGUCUUUUAGGCGGUGGAGAAAUGGAAAUUGGAUUUCCCUGAGGUUCCAAUUAUUUGUUUUAGGGGCCGUAGCUCAGCUGGAGCGUCUCCUC
rnacentral:misc_RNA from 1 species